UAUUAGGCCAUACUGCCCAAUUGAACAUAUUAUCUCAUCUGAAGCUAAGCAGGGUCAGACUUGGUUAGUACGAGGAUGGGAGACCCCCAGGAAUACCGGGCACUGUAAUCU
rnacentral:rRNA from 1 species